GGGGCUGUAACUCGGUGGUAGAGUGCUUAUCUCACACAUGUGAAGUACUGGGUUCAAUCCUCAGCACCACA
rnacentral:tRNA from 1 species